AGCGAACGCUGGCGGCAGGCUUAACACAUGCAAGUCGAACGGGCACUUCGGUGUCAGUGGCAGACGGGUGAGUAACACGUGGGAACGUACCUCUUGGUUCGGAACAACACAGGGAAACAUGUGCUAAUACCGGAUAAGCCCUUACGGGGAAAGAUUCAUCGCCGAGAGAUCGGCCCGCGUCUGAUUAGCUAGUUGGUAGGGUAAUGGCCUACCAAGGCGACGAUCAGUAGCUGGUCUGAGAGGAUGAUCAGCCACAUUGGGACUGAGACACGGCCCAAACUCCUACGGGAGGCAGCAGUGGGGAAUAUUGGACAAUGGGGGCAACCCUGAUCCAGCCAUGCCGCGUGAGUGAUGAAGGCCCUAGGGUUGUAAAGCUCUUUUGUGCGGGAAGAUAAUGACGGUACCGCAAGAAUAAGCCCCGGCUAACUUCGUGCCAGCCGCCGCUGUAAAAC
rnacentral:rRNA from 1 species